rnacentral:rRNA from 1 species
UGUCGUCAGCUCGUGUCGUGAGAUGUUGGGUUAAGUCCCGCAACGAGCGCAACCCUUAUCCUUAGUUGCCAGCAAGUAAAGAUGGGCACUCUAAGGAGACUGCCGGUGAUAAACCGGAGGAAGGUGGGGAUGACGUCAAAUCAUCAUGCCCCUUAUGUCUUGGGCUACACACGUGCUACAAUGGUCGGUACAACGGGGAGCGAAGGAGUGAUCCGGAGCAAAUCCCAAUAAACCGAUCCCAGUUCGGAUUGCAGGCUGCAACUCGCCUGCAUGAAGUCGGAGUUGCUAGUAAUCGCGAAUCAGAACGUCGCGGUGAAUACGUUCCCGGGA